AGAGUUUGAUCAUGGCUCAGGAUAAACGCUGGCGGCGUGCCUAACACAUGCAAGUCGAACGCCCUACGCAAGUAGGGAGUGGCGGACGGGUGAGGAACACGUGGGUACCUACCCUUCAGUGAGGAAUACCGGCGAGAAAUCGCCGACAAGACCGCAUACGCUUCGCAAGAAGGAAAGCUCGUAAGAGCGCUGGAGGAUGG
rnacentral:rRNA from 1 species